GUAAAGAGCUCGUAGGUGGUUUGUCGCGUUGUUCGUGAAAUCUCACGGCUUAACUGUGAGCGUGCGGGCGAUACGGGCAGACUAGAGUACUGCAGGGGAGACUGGAAUUCCUGGUGUAGCGGUGGAAUGCGCAGAUAUCAGGAGGAACACCGGUGGCGAAGGCGGGUCUCUGGGCAGUAACUGACGCUGAGGAGCGAAAGCGUGGGGAGCGAACAGGAUUAGAUACCCUGGUAGUCCACGCCGUAAACGGUGGGUACUAAGUGUGGGUUUCCUUCCUUGGGAUCCGUGCCGUAGCUAACGCAUUAAGUACCCCGCCUGGGGAGUACGGCCGCGAAGCUAAAACUCAAAGGAAUUGACGGGGGCCCGCACAAGCGGCGGAGCAUGUGGAUUAAUUCGAUGCAACGCGAAGAACCUUACCUGGGUUUGACAUGCACAGGACGCGUCUAGAGAUAGGCGUUCCCUUGUGGCCUGUGGGCAGGUGGUGCAUGGCUGUCGUCAGCUCGUGUCGGUGAGAUGCUGGGUUAAGUCCCGCAACGAGCGCAACCCUUGUCUCAUGUUGCCAGCGGGUAAUGCCGGGGACUCGUGAGAGACUGCCGGGGUCAACUCGGAGGAAGGUGGGGAUGACGUCAAGUCAUCAUGCCCCUUAUGUCCAGGGCUUCACACAUGCUACAAUGGCCGGUACAAAGGGCUGCGAUGCCGUAAGGUUAAGCGAAUCCUUUUAAAGCCGGUCUCAGCUCGGAUUGGGGUCUGCAACUCGACCCCAUGAAGUCGGAGUCGCUAGUAAUCGC
rnacentral:rRNA from 1 species